AGCUUUGCGCAGUGGCAGUAUCAUAGCCAAUGAGGUUUAUCCGAGGCGCGAUUAUUGCUAAUUGAAAACAAAUAUUCUUGCUAAUUGGGAAAUAUAACAUAUGCUAUGCACAGGAUUCAUUUUUAAUACAAUACAGAUU
ensembl:snRNA U4 U4 spliceosomal RNA